AUUGAACGCUGGCGGCAUGCCUUACACAUGCAAGUCGAACGGCAGCGGGGGAGAAGCUUGCUUUUCCUGCCGGCGAGUGGCGAACGGGUGAGUAAUACAUCGGAACGUGCCCUGUAGUGGGGGAUAACUAGUCGUAAGAUUAGCUAAUACCGCAUACGACCUGAGGGUGAAAGUGGGGGACCGCAAGGCCUCAUGCUAUAGGAGCGGCCGAUGUCUGAUUAGCUAGUUGGUGGGGUAAAGGCCUACCAAGGCGACGAUAAGUAGCUGGUCUGAGAGGACGAUCAGCCACACUGGGACUGAGACACGGCCCAGACUCCUACGGGAGGCAGCAGGGGGGAAUUUUGGACAAUGGGCGAAAGCCUGAUCCAGCAAUGCCGCGUGUGUGAAGAAGGCCUUCGGGUUGUAAAGCACUUUUGUCCGGAGAGGAAUGGCUCUGGUUAAUACCUGGGGUCGAUGACGGUACCGGAAGAAUAAGGACCGGCUAACUACGUGCCAGCCGCCGCCGUAAGAC
rnacentral:rRNA from 1 species